rnacentral:snRNA from 1 species
GGAUGUGAGGGCGAUCUGGCUGCGACAUCUGUCACCCCAUUGAUCGCCAGGGUUGAUUCGGCUGAUCUGGCUGGCUAGGCGGGUGUCCCCUUCCUCCCUCACCGCUCCAUGUGCGUCCCUCCCGAAGCUGUGCGCUCGAUCGAAGAGGAAGACCUUCCCCGCUAGAGGAGGACCGGUCUUUGGUCAAGGGUAUACGAGUAGCUGCGUUCCCCUGCUAGAACCUCCAAACAAGCUCUCAAGGUUCCCUUUUUUAAAAAGAUAUAUUUAUUUAUUUGGAAAACAGUGGCAGAAAGGCAGACAGAGAAAGAGACUUUCCUUCCCU